rnacentral:rRNA from 1 species
CUACGGGUCGCUGCAGACGAGAAAACUUUGCAAUGUGCGAAAGCACGACAAGGUUAAUCCGAGUGGUUUCUGCUAAAGGAACCUUUUGUCAGUCCUAGAAACACUGAUGAAUAAGGGGUGGGCAAGUUCUGGUGUCAGCCGCCGCGGUAAAACCAGCACCUCAAGUGGUCAGGAUGAUUAUUGGGCCUAAAGCAUCCGUAGCCGGCUCUGUAAGUUUUCGGUUAAAUCUGUACGCUCAACGUACAGGCUGCCGGGAAUACUGCAGAGCUAGGGAGUGGGAGAGGUAGACGGUACUCGGUAGGAAGGGGUAAAAUCCUUUGAUCUAUUGAUGACCACCUGUGGCGAAGGCGGUCUACCAGAACACGUCCGACGGUGAGGGAUGAAAGCUGGGGGAGCAAACCGGAUUAGAUACCCCUGUAGUC